GAACAUGGAAAAGUAAAUAGCAGUUGUCUCUUGAGAGAGUGACGUGUCAGCCGGAUUCCAGAGGAUGGGGAAUUAUGCCAAGACAUAAGCAGGAUAUUCUAGACAAAAGGAAAGCACCAUCCACAAAAGCCACGACUAGGAAAAGAUGAGCGUACAGUGGAAGCAGAAGAAUUCUACAUCUCCAGGUGUGGAAUGAAUGCUCGUUUUUCCACAUCUGCCCCCCUUACUCUACUUCAGUUAUCCGUAUCUGCCCCCCCCUUACUCUACUUCAGUUAUCCGUAUCUCCUCCAGUAAUGGUUCAAGACAAAAUAUAGGAGUUGCAUUUUCCUUCUCUUAUCCUUUACACCUACAUCUUAUCAAUCAAAAACUGCUGUUAGAUCAGAAACAGUAUCCUGAAUCUGUCCACCCCUUUCUAUCCGCUGGGCAGACUAUCUCAUAAUCAUCCCUUGCCUGGGGGUGGACAGCACAUGCUACAGCUUCCAACCUGGCAGCCAGCUUCCUUCAACUCUCUUCCCCUCAAGACGGUUAGCCAUCUCUUGGAAAUGUAAAACAGGUCUCCCAAAGGCCACCUUCCAAAUAAAUUUGAACUUUAUGGCUUAAUCCAAGGAGAUACUUGGAUUUGGAUUUUCACUUUCUCUUUGUAGUCUAUUUUCAUUUCUUGAAAACUGUCUAAGCAGGAAUCUAGCCUGUCUCAAUUACUGGGUUCCUUUCACAAUUACUGGACAGUGCAUAGCAUAUAACAGGCAUUCACUCACAUCGGAAAGCUGGGGAGGGAUGUAGAAGUCAAAGCCUUUGUAGAACUUUUGGCCACUGUCAAUUGGGAUGUUCAUGCCAAGUUAAAUGGGAAGCUUCAGGGGAGUUCUGCAUAAGAAGACAAAAUAUCAUGAUGGCUGUUGCCGUGUGAAGAACACUCUGAAGAGGACCAAAGCAGAUAUCCGGCAGUGGCUAGAUGGGUGCAGUAUGCGAAGCAAAUAGCAGCCCACAAGGAACGGCUGAACAUUCAGCUCUCCGUGUUUAUGCCAGCUUUCUAAAAUUGCCAAACAAGGAAUUUCCAGCCCUAAAUAUAAAUAUAAUAUAAGGAAGAAUGGAUGGAUUGCAGGGAAUGCAGAAAAGUCGAAGAUGGCGGCUGCAUAGAGAGCACUCAAGACACAUUGAAGAGGAAAUGAGCAACUGAAAGGUGAUUCAUAAAACGGAGACAAUUAAAGGGGAAAGCAACUAACUAGUCAGUCACCUAGAUCACUAAGACACUUCUAAAUGUAUAGAAAUACUUCCACUCAGAAUCCAUUCUAACUCUUGACAACCCACAGCAACAGCAGGGUUAUGUACAGAAGUAGUUCUAAGGCAAGGCUUGACAGCCUGUCUUGUCACUGUGACAAUCAACAAUGUUUACUAAAGCAUCUAUAUGCCAUCCCAAUGCCAUGGUACCACCAAGUGCUCAGAAGACUUCGCACUUAACACAAAUCACAUGGUUCCCUCUUUCUUUCUUUUCCUCCCCCCUCCUUCCUCUCCUCCAAUUUAACAACUGCUCUCCAUGCCUUGUAACAGCCUGAGGUCUGGAGGCCUGGCUCAUGUAAGGAGUCACACUGCUGGUUCUGUAGAGUCUCCAGGGUUUCUGCAGUAGCAAGAUUUACAUUUUCAUUACUAAAACUCUCCAACCAGAUAAUGUCACUCCAUGCAAUGUCAUGCAGACCCUCUGAGUCUUCCAAAUGCUUGGCAUCAGAUCCGCGCAAGCCUGUUCUCAUUAAACAGUUCCCUUUGCUUGCCUUGUACCGAGCAGCUUGCUAGCCCACAGCUUCACCUUAGUUUGCCUUGUGACCCAUUUCUUCAGGUUUUUUCCUUUGGCAGCCAGAUUCUGGGGGAGUCUAAGUAUUAGAAUCCCUGGGUGGUUUCGGAUGCACCUGUUCCGUUCUUUCUGGAGUCAUUAGAAUUUGGCUGAGAGGAAUGACAGCAGGUAAGAAUUGAGUUUGUAAAAGAGCAACUCAGCAUGACAUUUUUUCCUAAAGUGCAGCGGAGUGCAUCCUGUAACGGGAAACUUAGCCACAACCAACCAUCUUUUAGUUUUAUAAUUUGGGGCUCUCAGUAGCUGUCCUAGGAUUUCUCCCUCUAGUCUUAAUGCUUCAGGCAAAUUCUGAAUAAUGAAUGGGAGGAGCUGGGGUAGAGGGUUGCUGGAGAGAAAGUGUCUGAGCCCUAUACUAGGAAAUGAAAAUAAAAAGGCCUUCUGCACUCUGUAUUGGAUACAGAUGUACUCAAAGCAGCAGCCCUAUUCUGUAACAUUGCCAAAAACACAUCAGCUACAUAUGGCUGCCUUGUCGGUGGAGAACAGCGAUGGGACUAUCUAAUAAGCAUCAUUUACUAUUGGCAACAGACCUAUCAAUUAACUAUUGUUCUAGAUGAACCUCAUACUACAGCAAUUACUGUGUACCUACAACGGGAAGAACCCAGGUUAAGGUUGGCGGCAGUGUUUCUUCCACUUGUUCUGGCUUUCUGAUCAUCACCGCAGCUCUUACGUCAGGAUCAUAUUAGCUCUAGAGUGCUGUGUUAUGCCUUAUUGUUCCUGGGACCAAAUGCCUAACAAAUGCGAGUUAGGGAAGGAAUGGAAGGAUUUAUUUCAGCUCACAGUUUGGGGGUAUAUUCCACUAUGGUAGAGAAGUCACAGGGACAGGAAGCUGACUUCAUUCAACAUCAGGAAGAAAACACUGAAUGUCAUUGCUAUUUAACUGUCCUUUUCACUCUGUUUAGAACUCCAAUAAAAUGAAUCUGACACAAACUUGAAGAUGAACGAGUUAUAUACCAGUAUAUGCAUAUGUAUAACACUACUACAAAAUUACAAUGCUUAAAACAGUGUUGCUUGUACAACAGUAACUAAAAAUACCACUAAGCAGCAGAGAGCAGAAACAGGGCUGUAGGGACUGGUCACCCGCUUCAUGAGAAUGAUGACAGGGCAGCGAGUAAGGAAAGGCUGGUCCCCAGGGCCAGCUGGAGAUCAGCUGGAAAAGUCUAACCUUGAUCUCUACUCCUUCUUUCCCACACUAACUUUAGUUCAAGGUAAAUCUGAAUCCAAGAGGGGCAACAUACUUCUAAAAGAUGGCACAGGAAGUUUCUUUGGGAGCUUGGAAUAAGACGAAAAUUUAAGGUAGAAAACAUACCAUUGUACAGGAAAUAAAUUAAGGAUUUUGAAGGUAUUAUAAUUAGGAAGUGAUUUUCAUGAGGAAGAAUAGUAAAAAAAAAAAGGUGAGAAAGCAAGAUGGACUGAGAAAACAUAGUUCGUGACACAUACGAACAACAUGCCCAGAGUUUAAAAUUUCUGUAUACCAACAAUAUUAUGAAUGCACAACAAUAGAAAAAUGAGAAAAGUCUGAGAUGACUUCUCACCAGAAGAAUCCACAGAGAAAUUUAUCAUAUGAGAGAGAAUUCACUUCAGUGAUAAUGAGAACAAUGUAAAGUACCCGUAGUUUUAAUAACAGGAACAAAGCACAACCCAUCAAUCUUCCUGUGAUAAAAAUCAGGUUAAGAAAGUUGAGGCCAUUUUGAGAAGGGUCCUAAUCCUAUACAUAAGGAUCCCAUUCUCAGGUCCUACUUACCUCCCAGAGGUCUCACACGGAAUCCCAACACAUGGGGAGUUAGGAUUUCAACAUGUGAAUUCAGGAGGAACACAAACCGUCCAUAGCACAUGGCUACUUGAAGAGGCUCAGAAUAUACCACUGGAGGGAUCUGUGAAGGUGAACUUAUCAACAUAAAUGAAGGAAGUGGUUUUGAGAAAAAGGAUGAAGAUAUCCCAGAGGAAGUGAUGCCAACAAACUACUUCACUUUACAAAAUCUCUCCGAGAUCUUUUGUGACACUGCAAGCUUGAAGGAUAAGAUGUUGGAAGCUGAUCAAAACUUAAAAAGAAGUAUGACAAUAUGUCAAUGCAAAAGAAAGAUUCCCCCCUCUCUGUGGCAAAUUAUACAAGAAGAAAAACACUGCUAAACUACUUUUGCAAAUUAAAAAAAAAAAAAAUGUUUUUAAAAUUCUGAGUGUUUCACAUAGAUAUGACAUUUUUUUUAUUUUACCAUAUGUUUGUAACUGACAGAAAGAUGACUUUACUCUUUUUAUAAAAAAAUUCUGUAAAUCACUAAACAAUCCUCACUUCUCCCCAAUAAUCUUAAGAUUACUUUUCAUGGCCUCACGUUGGGUAGCCACUUUAAAAAUUCCCAGCCAUCUCUAGGCAGAGCUUCAGCUGUCUCUACUCCAUUUUUGAUAGUCUCUGUUACCGUCAAGUUUUCCCUAUUGCCUACAGUGUAAAAUUCUUCCAUAUCGCCUAGAUGACUCUCUGACACACAUCAAUAGUUUAAAUUGCGUACACUAUCCCAACUCCACUCUCUGACUUCCAUCACGGUAUCUCUUUACCUAUGAUUUCUUCUACCUUAUACGCUUAGGUCAUCCAUGGAAAAAAUUCCUGGGUCCCUAAAUUAAGAUGAUUCUUUCAACAAAAUGCCUAUCUUCUAGAACGGAUAGUAAAUCCCCACUUUUAAUGAGCCACAGUCACAUAUCAAACCCUUGCUAUAAAGCCAUAUGUGUUUGGUUUUGAUUUUAUGUUUGUUUUUGAAAAAUAAGGACUUUCAUGCCUAAAAUGGGAGACAGCUAAACACAUGUACAUAACAAUAAAGGCAAAAUAGACAAAGGAGAGGAACCUGAAACUUGUGGUUUAUUUUUAAUAAAUAUAAAAAUCCUACGGCAGGAAUUUUCUAGAAAAUAGUUAGCUCAUAUGAUGGAUUUUAACUGAGUAUUUAUAGACUGCUGACUGCAAAGAACAAAGCCUAUGUGAACUUUAUUCCUCAGUGUACAAGGAGAAGACAAGAUUGUGUACUCUUAAGAAUUUCCUCAGAUGCUCCAACAACCUCCCAACUGCUGUGCUCUCUUGCACUUUUCUACUCUGCCCAUGAAUAAAUAGUUACUUGGGUCUGAAGUCUCUCAAACCAGCAGCUCUUUGUUGAAGACCUCACAAGACUUUUAAUAAAGACAACUGAAAAGAAAUUGAUUUUCCCCCCUGGUUGAAGUAUGUAUUCAAAAGAUUGGUAAACAAUAUCUCCCAUGCUCUCCCUUAAGAAUGUAUGCUUUGAUUUUUACUUUGAAGGAAAAAAUACACAUAAGUCAAUAUUUUUUAUGUUUAUAAUAACCUCAUACAGGGCUUUCUGGGGCAGGAAUACAAUAUAGUUACUUAUAGAUCUUUAUGUAAGACACUUGCCUAAGUACAUAGCAAUCUCAAACAUCUUGACAGAGUCUGUGCUGACUUUUCUAGUCCAUGGGUCUAUAGUGGAGGAGAGGUCUUUAAGCACAGAGCAUCUAGUAUGCUUUGCAUUCUGUUGUCUGGAGUAGAACAAAUCAUAUUCUACUGAUAUCUCCAUUCUAUGUGAGUCACGUGAAAUUAAUUUGCUACCUAUAUUUUGAUAUUCUGUCCACAUCCUUCACAGUAUGCCACAUGUCAUUGACAGAGGUCCUACGUGCACAGUUCCCCAUCAUAAUAGUGAGCACAUUAACAGCCAUUUUCUUUGUAACUGUAUCUCUUGGCCAUGUUCAAAUAGAUCAGGAAUGUGCUAACCUUUCAAUCUCAGUGCAGUAGUCUUCCUUCUCCUAGGAAAUGGAAUUUGAAAAGACAGUCUCUGAGAUGGAGACCUAGAAGUGGAUAAAAGGCCAUGUAGGGCUGAGGGAAGGAAGAAUGGAUGGGGCGGGGGAGAGAGAGACAGAGAGACAGAGAGACAGAGAGACAGAGACAGAGACACAGAGAGAGAGCAGGGUGAAGUGUUAAACACUGAAAGUGGGUCCCCAAUAACAUACUUCCUCCAGCAAGAGAGAGAGAGAAGAUAGACAGCGACAGACAGAAAGACAGAGAGACAAAGAGAGGGGAAGGGACAAAUGAUCAUGGCAGAGAUACAGACAGAAACAGAGGAAAGUCCUAGUUCUGUGCUUUAAUUUCCUUAGGAAAUCCCCUUCCCUGAUUUCCAUUAGAUAGAGGUCUCGCUGUUCUGACAAUAACUUUGCCUUGCUUUCUUGGGCUCACUGGGUCAGUUUGCUCUGACUUCCUUGUUGUGAUUCCCAAUGAGAACAAAUACGCUGCUAAGGCAGCUCUCCAGAGACGUCAUUUCUGGAAUAAAGAUAAUGAUAGCGUUAUCAUUACAAAUUCCAGCAGCAUGUCGGCUGACCAAUAGAUGUCCUUUCAAACUUGGAGUCCAGCGAAGUUGCCCAGCAGGUAAGGGUACUUGCUUCCAACUGAGGACCAGAGAGAGAUUCUUGGAAUCCACAGAGUAGGAGGAGAAAACCCACUCCUGCCAGUCGUCCCCCGUUUUAGACAUCACUGUGUACAAAUGACUCCCUCCACACUCACACAAACAAAUGCAUGUUUCUAAAAGCUCCUAAAAUCAGUGUGGGCUGUUAACUAUUUUUGCAUGUGGAAAUUGGCAGGUUCUUCCUAGGCUUUGUCAUUUAUGUUCCGAUAGAUGGAGGAUGUGUCUUUCUAGGCCUACACCGUUAAUUGGCUGCUUGCAAAUUGAUCUCCUGCAAAAGCAUAUCAGCCUUCCACACAAUGAUCAUGUCCUUCAGACUUGACAGUAACUGCCUACUUGAGUGGGAUAUGUGGUCUCAAAUACCUUAGUCGAUCUUUUAUACGAGACAAUCUCAAACAUCUUACAGAGUCUGUCUUGGUUUCUCUGGUGCCACAGGCCCUUACUGAAAAAGAAGUCUCUAACCCAACCACUGACCAUAAUGGCACCUGUUGGCUUCCUGCCUCCUAUUAUUUACCUGUAGAAAAUCUAAAUAUUGACAUGUCUAAAAUGUAAUAUUUUCCAAAAUGUACUUGCUAUUCUCUCACAGGGACUUUUAUUUUCUUCAUUCAACCGCUUGUGGGUUUCUAACCUCCCCUUCAUUAAGCUUUAUACAGGAAUUGAGCAUGUAAACUAACUAUAAAAUUUGGAAACCUGAAAAACAGGGCCUAAGUAGGGAGCUAGGGGAGAGGCAGCUCUCUAAACUUAGGAGAAUGAUCAAUCAGCCCAUCCUUUCUGUGACUGCAUCCCCAGCGUACUCUUAACACGUGAAAACAAAAAAUGGCAUUGCAAUCAAGAGAUCAAAAACAAACCCAACAAUUUCUUCUCUACUGGCAGCACGAAAAAUAGGAUUCAUUUACAAACAAAUCCAACAUUUAAACUUAUGGUGUUCUUUCAUGCAACCAUGCUUUUGAAAGCCUUUAACCUCCAAAUUUUUACAUGUUCCAACGACAUAAUUUAAUCCAAUACCAUAGCUAAUCUCUCAGUGGUUGACCACCUGAAGAAAAAUUAGCUGAGUGGUUCACUCUUCUGCUGCCAAGGUUACUAAUUUCAUGCUUUUCACUGUGGUCUGUUCUGUUUUCAAGUCUUCUUUCAGUACUUUAAAACACAUUUGGUUUUUACAAACACGCUCAGGCAAAAUAGCACAUUUCACAUUUAGAAUUUGGGCUCAGUUAGUCUUUUACAAAUCUGAUUUACUUUCAAGAAACUAUUCUUUAGCAACAUUGUCAAGAUAUGUUUCUACGAAGAGUUAUCCAUAUAAAAGAUAAAGUGUAUUAUACGAUAUGUAAACUAAUAUAUAUUAAAUCAAUAUAUAUUCUGUGUAUUUGUUGUCAAUGUAAUUAUUUGAAGCAUGAUUACCACUCAUGCACAGAAUAUGUUGUAUGGAGAAAUUAAACUUAGAAGAGAGCAGAAAUUAACUGUCUUGUUUUCAAGUCUUCGGUCCCCAUUGUAAAUUAAGGUAGCAAUAAUUAUCACAGUGACCCAGAAUGCAAAUGUCCAUUACCUGAUUUAAAAAAAAAUAAAAAAACUUAAAUGUGGUGUGUCCAUACAAUGGAAUGCUAUUCAGCCAUAAAGAAUAAAAUGCUGAUACCAACUAAUAUAUGCAUGAGCCACCAUUAGAGGACUAUUGGCAUAGAAAUAGGAACUCAGCAAAGCUUGUUGCUGAUAAGCUGAAGCUGCCCUCACAGCGCCGGUAUUAGCUUGGCACUAACCACUGAGUUUAGUUAAAGUAGCCAUGACUUUUAUUUGACUAUUACACACCCAGGCCUAGCACUGCUGUCAGGCUUCCCCGAAUCUUUUUUAUUACCACCAAAAAAAAAAAUUCAUGAAAGAAAAGACAUGAACUUUGUGCCCUUAAAGCAAGUGAGCCCAGUUAGGACUUUUCAUGGUGGUUGACAAAAUGUUUCACCUUUACAGCCCAGGCACUUGAUAACUUCAGCCUUCAUUCUGUGCCCUGCCUAGGCAGAGACUUUUUAGCUCCACUAGGGCUUCAGAGAAUUGAUUCCCCCAGUCCUUGGAGUCCCAGUGUGCUUUGCUGAAAUUUAUCUAUCCACCCCAGGCAAUGCCAGUAUACCAAAAUGGAUGCUUUUGGGGUUAAGCACCCUAGCAGCAAUUUCCCUUUGAGCACUGCUAUGUGAUAAAGCAGUAGACUUCACUCUUCAAGUGAAAUGUACUGCCCUGGCUGUAGGAAGUAGAAUGGGAAGAACUUCUCAUGGCCAUUCGUCCUAGUAAUUGACUAACAGAACAAUGGCCGGUUUUCCUCAAUAGCAGCGUCCUGUUGGAAACACCUGCCUUCAAAUCCCCUUCCUCUUACACUGUGUCUAAAUGGGAUGCUGGCGAGAGAAGCACACUUCUCCAUUAAAUGGACAAAUUUGAGUCCUGGAACAUGAGAAACACCAGUGUAGCACCUACAAACAAUGAGGAGAUCCAUUUCCACUGCUUUCUAGGAUGCAUGAGGCUCUUUGAGGGUGAAAAUAAUCUUUCCAUGGUCCAUCUUGAGGCAGUGGCCAGAUUGACUCUGAAGACAACGCUUCUAUCUAUCACAAGCUGAGAGGCAACGUUUCCAGACACCUCUCCACAUUUUUCUCAUACUAUAUCAAUUAAAUACUGCGGUGGAAAAUAGAAAAGGCCUCUAAAGUAUUGGCCACAACCGGGAUGCUUUUGCCAGCAACCUCCCCUUGCAUGUUCAGCGUGCGGUUUGCCCAUCUGCACAGGUUAGUUGAGCCUGUUCACAAAAAAACAAAAACAAAAACAAAAACAAAAACAAAAAAAUACCACCUAAGUUCAUAGUCCAUAACUUUAUAUAAAAGGCUAUUCAAAAGCUUAACUCUGCAGCUUAGUUAGAAGAGUUAUGCAGAAGAGAAAAACCUUCCUUCCCUGGGUAACAGUCUGGCCUGUUUCCACCUCCAUCCCUCUUUUUGUCACUAUCUCUGCCCUCAGCAUGCAAUGUUUUUUAAGUAUUGCAAAAUGUCAAUACUCAAACAAAGGAAACUUGGAGCACCCCCUGCUAUCACAGAAUCUUGCUUUAUAAAGCCAGAAACACUGACAUGUAAGGAAACCUUAUUCCCUCCUUCCCUCCCUCUCUGAACAUGAUUUGCUUCCCCCUCCCUCUUCAUAUAUAAAUAAACAGACCGUGUCUGUGUAGUUGGUGUUUUUUCUCCUUUGGUCUUCAUAAUCAAGGGCUAUUACAGCAAUAGAUCUUAUCUGUGGAAUGGCAGUCCCUCUGCACCUUCAGUUCAGGUUUUUGUUUAUGCUUGGCUGCCAUUGUGGCUGUUCCUGAUAGUUUUAGGUCAGCCAUGACAGACUAUAGGUGACACUAAAUAAACAAGCUGGGAGUCUGGGACCAGCCAAGAAGAAGUGGUACUGGGGCUCACAGUUUGAUUUUCGUUGAUUAAUCACCUCUUAUAUUUAGAAGAACUUAUUGUGUACAGUACCUGCUUGUCUGGCUUAGCAAAUUACACCAUCAACAGGCAAGGACUUAGCAAACCUCAUAAACAAAGGGAAACCCAGAAGACAAGCACAGCUUACUCAAGUGCACAGUGAAGCAGCCGACUUCAGGAGCAUGAUCGGGGCUGUUUAUUUAUUUUCUGAAAUAGCUCAUAGCUCUUUCUCCUGCUGCUUGUUAUCCUGUUAUGACCUGAGUCACCUUGUCAAGCCACCUCCCAGGUCGCCCAGAUCCCCACAACCAGCAACCUAAUCAUUUUGAAUGAUAAGAAGGGUCCCAAUUUGGCUCUACAUAAGCUCUGUAUCUCUGUAUGCAUGUGUGUGUGUGUG
rnacentral:sRNA from 1 species